rnacentral:lncRNA from 1 species
GUUUAUUUCAACAGCAUACAUUUAAAUUCUAUUCCAUUUGAAAGUGCUUCUGAGGUUAGCUGCUACAGAGGAAAGUGUGUCUGUGCUUGAAAGCAGUGAAACGACUCAUUAAAAUCUGAAUCAGCUUCAAAUCAAACAUUUUAAUUUGUGGAGUGGACUAUGAUCAUAAGAAAAUAAAGAGCUCAUUUCAUCGUAUUUUAAGAGAUAUUUGAAAACUUCUUCAUAACUUACCAAGGAAAACUACGCAUGUUAGAAGAAAGGCCCCAGUUUCUGCUGUAUUCCUAAAGUCGCCUUCUGUUCUAACAUGCAGACUCAGAGACUAAGUGGGUUAAAUAGAUAUCAUCUUUGAUCUUUGCAAAAUUGAUUAAAUAGACAUUAGUGGGAUGCUCUAUGUGCACAUGUGUUUCCUAGGCAAAUACAGCUAUCCUGGAAUGUGUGGUUUUGAAUUACAUUAUAAAACAUGGAGAUGUGUCUUUAACUUCGUGUAUGGGAGUUGGUCCAUGGUUUCCAGAGUGCUGUCAACCUGUGCAAGAAAUCAUGCUGAGAAGUGAAGCUGGAACAUUGAGGGUCGAAGAAUGACUGCAGAUGUACCUCCAGUUAACUAAAUGCAAGAGAGGAGGCUGAGAAUACACACAUGAUGGCUGGCAAUUCAAAGUGUCCCAGACAUACCCAACCAUUUAUUUGAUUGACUGAAUUUGCCUCCUAAUAAAUUAAUUUGAGAAGUUUAAGCAUCUGUGCUUUGGGUACCACAUAACAAAAUACACUGGCACUUCAGGCCAUGGUGAAGCCUGACUUCCAGCCCUGUUCAGGAGGACAC